UACGUAGGUGGCAAGCGUUGUUCGGAAUUAUUGGGCGUAAAGGGCGCGUAGGUGGCCGAGCAAGGUUGCGGUGAAAGCCCGGGGCUCAACCCCGGGUCGGCCGUGGCAACUACUCGGCUUGAGCACUGUAGGGGCGGGUGGAAUUCCGGGUGUAGCGGUGGAAUGCGUAGAGAUCCGGAAGAACACCGGUGGCGAAGGCGGCCCGCUGGGCAGUUGCUGACACUGAGGCGCGACAGCGUGGGGAGCAAACAGG
rnacentral:rRNA from 1 species